CUGCGAUGAUGUGUUUCUUAGGACUCCUUUAGAUCUGACGGGAGUGUAAGACAAUUCUGAGCAGC
rnacentral:snoRNA from 1 species